rnacentral:rRNA from 1 species
CACUCCUACGGGAGGCAGCAGUGGGGAAUAUUGGACAAUGGGCGCAAGCCUGAUCCAGCCAUGCCGCGUGAGUGAUGAAGGCCCUAGGGUUGUAAAGCUCUUUCACCGGUGAAGAUAAUGACGGUAACCGGAGAAGAAGCCCCGGCUAACUUCGUGCCAGCAGCCGCGGUAAUACGAAGGGGGCUAGCGUUGUUCGGAUUUACUGGGCGUAAAGCGCACGUAGGCGGACUAUUAAGUCAGGGGUGGAAUCCCGGGGCUCAACCCCGGAACUGCCUUUGAUACUGGUAGUCUUGAGUUCGAGAGAGGUGAGUGGAAUUCCGAGUGUAGAGGUGAAAUUCGUAGAUAUUCGGAGGAACACCAGUGGCGAAGGCGGCUCACUGGCUCGAUACUGACGCUGAGGUGCGAAAGCGUGGGGAGCAAACAGGAUUAGAAACCCGAGUAGUCCCAUGAU